rnacentral:rRNA from 1 species
AGGGUUCGAUCAUGGCUCAGGAUGAACGCUAGCGGCAGGCUUAACACAUGCAAGUCGAGGGGUAACAGGGAGCUUGCUCUGCUGACGACCGGCGCACGGGUGCGUAACGCGUAUGCAACCUACCUUCUACAGGGGGAUAGUCAAUAGAAAUGUUGAAUAAUACCCCAUACGAUCUUUGAGUGGCAUUACUUAAAGAGGAAAGCUUCGGCGGUAGAAGAUGGGCAUGCGUCCUAUUAGUUAGUUGGUGAGGUAACGGCUCACCAAGACCGCGAUAGGUAGGGGCCCUGAGAGGGGGAUCCCCCACACUGGUACUGAGACACGGACCAGACUCCUACGGGAGGCAGCAGUGAGGAAUAUUGGACAAUGGAGGCAACUCUGAUCCAGCCAUGCCGCGUGCAGGAAGACUGCCCUAUGGGUUGUAAACUGCUUUUAUACAGGAAGAAACCUACUUACGUGUAAGUAGCUGACGGUACUGUAAGAAUAAGGAUCGGCUAACUCCGUGCCAGCCGCCGCGGUAAUA